rnacentral:lncRNA from 1 species
UGAUCUGACCAGGCUGAGAUGUUCCAGCACUUUGUACCUUCUUCUUCUUAUUCUUCUUCUCUUUUUUAAAGAGUCGACACCCAGAAGAAGACCCUCUCACUAAGUUCACUGACUCCUUAUAGAGUUGGUGAUCCUUCUCAAAGUUCUAUAGCAACCCAACAAGUCAUGAUAGUUCACUGCAGGCUUUGGAAGGUAUGAUUUAGAAAAAGAGUUCAAAAUUAUAUUUUUUUCAAGCUGGUCAUGCAAGAAAAACUCGAGCUUGCUCAAGCUCUCAAUCAACUCGAUCAUGUAUAGUACAUGAUCAGUAAUUGAUGCCCCCUUUCUCAUCUGGGUGUUGA